GUCUCUAACAAAGGAUCAAUCUUGCUAGCUGAACUUAUAGCAAUACAAAUUGUACUGGAUCACAUAGAAUCUUUUUCAAAAGCGCAAAUUGAUACUUGAACUAUAUUUUCGGACAGUCAAACCGCAUUAUGUAUCUUAACUCUUAAUUGGAAAAGUGACAGCUAUCAUCAAACCAUUAACGAAAUCCAAGGGAAAAUUAAAAAUUUAAACGAACAUGGAAUUUUAAUCAACUUAAACUGGACACCAGG
rnacentral:lncRNA from 1 species